rnacentral:misc_RNA from 1 species
GAAAUAAAUUCUCAAUUUUAUUAACUCAAGUCAAUAAUAAUCAUAAUAAUAGUUAACAAAAUACCUUGAAGACGCAGGUAAUUAUAAUAAUAUUGUCAAUCCUAUUACCAGAAGGAUUUGUAAUCCUUAAACAAGUACACCCAAAUUAAAUACUAAUUAGGAAUAGAAAACCAAUAAAGCUCUUCUUCCUAAACUUCUUCCUACAGUAAGUAGUUCAAAAACCCAUAGAAAAUAAUCCUACAUCAGUCAAUGCAUUGCAAGGAAAGGCAUUUACUUUGGGAAUGUCAAAGAUAACCUUCCAUCACCUAGCCAUCUCUACUCAAAACAUAUUCACAUUACUGGUUCCAUUAUCAAUGCAAAAAUAGUGCAAUGGGUGACACACGUCUAUUGCAAUGGAAACAUAACCAGAAUAUCUUUGAUUUUAUAUGUCCAGGCUUUCAUAGGUUUGCAAAUGUACCAAGGCAAGUUGUAAAUGAGGUAUAUAUUUUUGUGUUUUAACAUUAAUCGGAAAGCCAAAACAAUAGACAGGAUAAUUAUGUAUACAAACCACAAAAACCUUGCUGAAUCCAGA